rnacentral:rRNA from 1 species
GGGUUGUGAGGUUAAGCGACUAAGCGUACACGGUGGAUGCCCUGGCAGUCAGAGGCGAUGAAGGACGUGCUAAUCUGCGAUAAGCGCCGGUAAGGUGAUAUGAACCGUUAUAACCGGCGAUUUCCGAAUGGGGAAACCCAGUGUGAUUCGUCACACUAUCAUUAACUGAAUCCAUAGGUUAAUGAGGCGAACCGGGGGAACUGAAACAUCUAAGUACCCCGAGGAAAAGAAAUCAACCGAGAUUCCCCCAGUAGCGGCGAGCGAACGGGGAGGAGCCCAGAGCCUGAAUCAGCAUGUGUGUUAGUGGAAGCGUCUGGAAAGGCGCGCGAUACAGGGUGACAGCCCCGUACACAAAAGCGCAUGUGCUGUGAGCUCGAUGAGUAGGGCGGGACACGUGGUAUCCUGUCUGAAUAUGGGGGGACCAUCCUCCAAGGCUAAAUACUCCUGACUGACCGAUAGUGAACCAGUACCGUGAGGGAAAGGCGAAAAGAACCCCGGCGAGGGGAGUGAAAAAGAACCUGAAACCGUGUACGUACAAGCAGUGGGAGCACCCUUCGGGGUGUGACUGCGUACCUUUUGUAUAAUGGGUCAGCGACUUAUAUUCUGUAGCAAGGUUAACCGUAUAGGGGAGCCGGAGGGAAACCGAGUCUUAAUUGGGCGUUAAGUUGCAGGGUAUAGACCCGAAACCCGGUGAUCUAGCCAUGGGCAGGUUGAAGGUUGGGUAACACUAACUGGAGGACCGAACCGACUAAUGUUGAAAAAUUAGCGGAUGACCUGUGGCUGGGGGUGAAAGGCCAAUCAAACCGGGAGAUAGCUGGUUCUCCCCGAAAGCUAUUUAGGUAGCGCCUCGUGAAUUCAUCUCCGGGGGUAGAGCACUGUUUCGGCUAGGGGGCCAUCCCGGCUUACCAACCCGAUGCAAACUGCGAAUACCGGAGAAUGUUAUCACGGGAGACACACGGCGGGUGCUAACGUCCGUCGUGAAGAGGGAAACAACCCAGACCGCCAGCUAAGGUCCCAAAGUCAUGGUUAAGUGGGAAACGAUGUGGGAAGGCCCAGACAGCCAGGAUGUUGGCUUAGAAGCAGCCAUCAUUUAAAGAAAGCGUAAUAGCUCACUGGUCGAGUCGGCCUGCGCGGAAGAUGUAACGGGGCUAAACCAUGCACCGAAGCUGCGGCAGCGAACGUAUCACUUAAAGCGAUUCAGCGGGUUACGAUUGACGGAGCGAAGCGACGUCAAAGCGUAUACAAAGUCGAGUCGGUUUAAGGAUACGUUCGUUGGGUAGGGGAGCGUUCUGUAAGCCUGUGAAGGUGGCCUGUGAGGGUUGCUGGAGGUAUCAGAAGUGCGAAUGCUGACAUAAGUAACGAUAAAGCGGGUGAAAAGCCCGCUCGCCGGAAGACCAAGGGUUCCUGUCCAACGUUAAUCGGGGCAGGGUGAGUCGACCCCUAAGGCGAGGCCGAAAGGCGUAGUCGAUGGGAAACGGGUUAAUAUUCCCGUACUUGGUGUUACUGCGAAGGGGGGACGGAGAAGGCUAUGUUGGCCGGGCGACGGUUGUCCCGGUUUAAGCGUGUAGGUGUGUGUUCCAGGUAAAUCCGGUUCACUUUAACACUGAGGCGUGAUGACGAGGCACUACGGUGCUGAAGCAACAAAUGCCCUGCUUCCAGGAAAAGCCUCUAAGCAUCAGGUAACAUCAAAUCGUACCCCAAACCGACACAGGUGGUCAGGUAGAGAAUACCAAGGCGCUUGAGAGAACUCGGGUGAAGGAACUAGGCAAAAUGGUGCCGUAACUUCGGGAGAAGGCACGCUGACACGUAGGUGAAGUGAUUUACUCAUGGAGCUGAAGUCAGUCGAAGAUACCAGCUGGCUGCAACUGUUUAUUAAAAACACAGCACUGUGCAAACACGAAAGUGGACGUAUACGGUGUGACGCCUGCCCGGUGCCGGAAGGUUAAUUGAUGGGGUCAGCGCAAGCGAAGCUCCUGAUCGAAGCCCCGGUAAACGGCGGCCGUAACUAUAACGGUCCUAAGGUAGCGAAAUUCCUUGUCGGGUAAGUUCCGACCUGCACGAAUGGCGUAAUGAUGGCCAGGCUGUCUCCACCCGAGACUCAGUGAAAUUGAACUCGCUGUGAAGAUGCAGUGUACCCGCGGCAAGACGGAAAGACCCCGUGAACCUUUACUAUAGCUUGACACUGAACAUUGAGCCUUGAUGUGUAGGAUAGGUGGGAGGCUUUGAAGCGUGGACGCCAGUCUGCGUGGAGCCGACCUUGAAAUACCACCCUUUAAUGUUUGAUGUUCUAACGUGGACCCGUGAUCCGGGUUGCGGACAGUGUCUGGUGGGUAGUUUGACUGGGGCGGUCUCCUCCUAAAGAGUAACGGAGGAGCACGAAGGUUGGCUAAUCCUGGUCGGACAUCAGGAGGUUAGUGCAAUGGCAUAAGCCAGCUUGACUGCGAGCGUGACGGCGCGAGCAGGUGCGAAAGCAGGUCAUAGUGAUCCGGUGGUUCUGAAUGGAAGGGCCAUCGCUCAACGGAUAAAAGGUACUCCGGGGAUAACAGGCUGAUACCGCCCAAGAGUUCAUAUCGACGGCGGUGUUUGGCACCUCGAUGUCGGCUCAUCACAUCCUGGGGCUGAAGUAGGUCCCAAGGGUAUGGCUGUUCGCCAUUUAAAGUGGUACGCGAGCUGGGUUUAGAACGUCGUGAGACAGUUCGGUCCCUAUCUGCCGUGGGCGCUGGAGAACUGAGGGGGGCUGCUCCUAGUACGAGAGGACCGGAGUGGACGCAUCACUGGUGUUCGGGUUGUCAUGCCAAUGGCACUGCCCGGUAGCUAAAUGCGGAAGAGAUAAGUGCUGAAAGCAUCUAAGCACGAAACUUGCCCCGAGAUGAGUUCUCCCUGAGACUUAAAGUCUCCUGAAGGAACGUUGAAGACGACGACGUUGAUAGGCCGGGUGUGUAAGCGCAGCGAUGCGUUGAGCUAACCGGUACUAAUGAACCGUGAGGCUUAACCUUACAACGCCGAAG